UACGAAGGGGGCUAGCGUUGUUCGGAUUUACUGGGCGUAAAGCGUGUGUAGGCGGCCUCGCAAGUCGGGUGUGAAAGCCCCAGGCUCAACCUGGGAAGUGCACUCGAUACUGCUUGGCUAGAGUGUCGGAGAGGUUGGUGGAAUUCUCGGUGUAGAGGUGAAAUUCGUAGAUAUCGAGAGGAACACCGGGUGGCGAAGGCGGCCAACUGGGACGAACACUGACGCUGAGACACGAAAAGCGUUGGGGGAGCAAACAGG
rnacentral:rRNA from 1 species